rnacentral:rRNA from 1 species
UACGUAGGGUGCGAGCGUUGUCCGGAAUUAUUGGGCGUAAAGAGCUCGUAGGCGGCCUGUUGCGUCGGUUGUGAAAGCCCGGGGCUUAACCCCGGGUCUGCAGUCGAUACGGGCAGGCUAGAGUUCGGUAGGGGAGAUCGGAAUUCCUGGUGUAGCGGUGAAAUGCGCAGAUAUCAGGAGGAACACCAAUGGCGAAGGCAGCACUCUGGGACGGUACUGACGCUGAGACGCGAAAGCGUGGGGAGCAAACAGG